rnacentral:lncRNA from 1 species
UAAGGCCGGACGCCGCACUACCUCACGAGGAAGAAAACUGUUACCACUUAAAAGAAGACUAAAACCUCUUUCCUUUAACACAACGUUGGCUACUAGCCCGAGCGCAAUCUAGGGGCCGGGGGAGGCGAAGAGGGCGAAAGUUUUUUCUUGAAAAUAAAGAAGCCGUCCUCGCUUCCCGCCCGCCCCCCACGCCCCCCACGCCCCCCACGCCCCCCGCCGCCGCUGCUUCCCCUCACCCAGGACGGGCUUUGAAGCCCCCCCUGGGAAGGUCGUUUCUACGGGUGACGACCGAGAAACGCGGCGAGCAGAACGUCGGCAAAACGGCUAUUGUGUCCCGAGCGCCACCUUGAAAAGAGGACAAACAGCUGGCAGAACGGGGACGGGGGCGUAGAGGCGAAGCACGAUGUGAUUGGCCCGCGGCUCCUGAGGCCGCGCGCGCCCGGGGAAGAGCCGAGGGACCUUGCGCGUGCGCAGAGGCGUCCCAGUGCGCCGGCCCGCCUCCCCCACCCCCUUGUAGGGGCGCCCGUCUGGAAGUGGGCGGAGUGCGGGCUGUGAUUAAUGCCUGGCCUAUAGAAGGCAGCGAGUUAAUCUUCCUCGCGCCCGAGAACUUGCUAAUUGAAGUUGAAGGAUUAAACAUCCUCCUGAAAGCUUUCAAGCUAAUGAGGAUUGCAAACUCAGAUGCCUACUUGGCCAACCCCAGAGAGGGCUGUCCAAAGUUGGGGGACACGUGGCCAUGA